rnacentral:lncRNA from 1 species
UGUGCAGGUGAACAUUCCCAAUUCCCUCAGCCUUUCCUCUUGGGAGAAGUGCUCCAUUCCUCUGUGCUAAAACCUUCCCAGAACUCCAAAUAAUGAAGUGUUUAGACCUCAUGCCUUCAGUUCCCAUCUAACACAGCCGUGGGCAUGCUCUGACCCACGGGUGUGUGCAGGAUGAUUUGGAAUCCAAUUCUUUCUGUCUUUGCAGGAGCUGCUCGUGGCCAGCUCCAGAGCUGUUGGGGCUCAGCAGCGAUGCCAGUGGGAUGGGAGGCUGGCACCAGCAGCUCUGAUCUGGAUCCUGUGAGUCUGAGAGAAGCAGUGCCAAAGGAUUACGAGUCCUUUAGCCCAUUGCGCUGGGUGGGAAGGAAAAUCAAGGUACAGAGAUUUUAUUGAAUUAGUAUUUGAGGACUAAUUAUUAAAAUGGCUUUUGAUGGAUGAGCUGUGAGUCAUGUUGGUCUGGC